AUUUCUCAAAAAGGCAUGAUUCACCCGUUGACACGGCAAUCACUAGGAAGAAAGCCUUUUUGGUGGCCGGCCUGGUGGCGCAGUGGUUAAGUGCGCACGUUCUACUUCGGCAGCCCGGGGAUCACCAGUUCGGAUGCCUGGUGUGGACAUGGCGCCGCUUGGCAAGCCAUGCUGUGCAACAGUACCUGGCAGAUUUUAUGUACCCAAUAAAUAUUGAAUAUUCAACUCUGGAGUGGAGUUUCUGUGCAAAUGGAACUACUCCUGCUGGUAAACUGAUUCUGAUUUGACCACACUGGGAAUUUGAAAUCAAAACAGGCUACUCCAACUUCCCAGAACCUUGAUGAAAACGUUUGUCCCCUUAGGAUUGUUUGUCCAGUUGCAUUUUGGAUGAUCUAGCAGAAGAGCCUCAUGAAAACGAAACACAAGGAGCCCUGGAGGGAGGGAGGAAGAGGAAGUGGGGAACCAAAGCCUGAGAGAGGGCAUGCAAAUGUGUAAAACAAAGACUCGGAACUCCCUUAAUUACAAGGGAAAUUUACCAGCAUUGAUUCUCAAGUAGUUUUCCUAAAGCCUUUCCCGCUCUGGUUCUCCUAGCUCGUCUUGGAAGCACUAGUGUGGAGCUGGGAAGAGAGAGUCUCAGAAAUAUGCAGACUCUUGAUGGGUGAACUUUACAGUCAUGUUCCUUAAAGAUAUUGAAGGUAUAUCGUUAUUCGAGUCAUGAUGUUAAGAUUUGUAGUGUGG
rnacentral:lncRNA from 1 species